UAGGGAAUCUUCCGCAAUGGACGCAAGUCUGACGGAGCAACGCCGCGUGAGUGAUGAAUGUCUUCGGAUUGUAAAACUCUGUUGUUAGGGAAGAACAAGUACCGUUCGAAUAGGUCGGUACCUUGACGGUACCUAACCAGAAAGCCCCGGCUAACUACGUGCCAGCAGCCGCGGUAAUACGUAGGGGGCAAGCGUUGUCCGGAAUUAUUGGGCGUAAAGGGCGCGCAGGCGGUCUUCUAAGUCUGAUGUGAAAGCCCACGGCUUAACCGUGGAAGGUCAUUGGAAACUGGGGGACUUGAGUGCAGAAGAGGAGAGUGGAAUUCCAUGUGUAGCGGUGAAAUGCGUAGAGAUAUGGAGGAACACCAGUGGCGAAGGCGACUCUCUGGUCUGCAACUGACGC
rnacentral:rRNA from 1 species